rnacentral:lncRNA from 1 species
CAUUUCUCCGCGCUGACCGACCUCCACGCUUGCAGCUCCCACUUCCCCGGAAUCGAGGGGACUCCUCUGCUUGUACUGAGCCAUGCUGGAUAUUUUCAUCCUCAUGUUCUUUGCCAUCAUAGGCCUGGUGGUUCUGUCCUACAUAAUUUACCUUCUCUAGUGGCCUGGCGCUGCAGGGGCUGCGAGGGGAAGGAUGGAGCUGAAGGGCCGAGCAUCCUGCUUGCUGACGCACCGCUCCUGUGUCGGGUCCAGCAAGAGGCCUCUCACCACCAGCAGCAAUCCUGAGGCCCAACUGAUCUCUUCCAGUGUAUCCGGAUGUGGCUGACCCUUGGCACGAAGGCAUUCUGUGAGGCAGGGGCACUCCUGGGGACAUCAGGAGUUAGUCCAAGAAUGCCAGCCACUGGCAGCUGCUGCAUGCGAUUGAGCUGUAGACAGGGACUAUUCAGAAUAUGGAAGAUUGGAACAGUGAAGUCAGAGUGGAGACUGCCCAAACAUUCAUAUGGACAGCCUUUCCUUAGGUCUAAAUGCAACUGCACACGAUGCUAAAAUAUUCUUUGCUUUCUGCUUCACAAGCAGGCGUUCCCUUGUAACCUCAAGGGCAAACACUGAUCAGUAAUUUACAGUUUGUACAGCCUGAGGUUGCGUGGUUUCCCUUGACUUACAACCCAUCCCCCACCCUCAAAAUUCCCGUUAUUUGCAUUCUUUAAGGUUUAUCAUUUCUUCCCUCCUUUUCUCAUUUGUUCCCAGCUCCUUAGUUGACUAGAGGCGCAUGGUUGUAAAGUCCUUAUUCUUUGUGCUUACCUAUAAAGCAUUGAAACAAAAUGGCUAUAUUAAUUUAGGAGAAAAACUUUACCCUAAAUGGAAGGGUUUGAAAACUUUAAAAAAAAUUUUAAACGUUCCUUUAUCUUUAAAAUAACAAAGCUGUUAUUUCCUUGUCCAAUUAGGGUUCAAACAAACAAACAAACAAACACACAAACAAACUGUGUUUUAGGAUACAGCAUGGAUCUGACCCCAAAUCCGUGUUAUCUAUUAUUCCCUUAAAGACUCUACCAUAAUUGCUCUGCAUUGAUUUUCUUUUUUAGGUUAAAAUAAACAAGAAAAAAAGAAUGAAUGAAUAAUUUCUUGUAAUAAUAUUUUGUUCAAUUGCUGUUUCAAGAAGGAACGAGCUGAGUACUGUAGCACACGCCUGUAAUGCUAGCACUUGGGAGUAGAGACAGAAGGGUCAGGAGUUCAAGGCCGGCCUUGACUACAUGAGAUCCUAUCUUCUAGAGAGGGGCUGGAGAGAUGACUCAGCUGUUAACAACACUUGUUGCUUUUGCAAGGGACCCCGUUUUGGUUCCCAGCACCUAGAUAGUGGCUCACAGUCAUCUGUAACUCCAGUUCCAGAAAUUUUGAUAUUUUCUGGGUUUUGCAUGUACUAUACACACAAGUGGCGUACAGACAUACACCUGUAUAUAUAAAAUAAAUAAAUAAAGAGAGAGGCAAAAA